GACGAACGCUGGCGGCGUGCCUAACACAUGCAAGUCGAGCGAAUGAAGUUCUUUCGGGAAUGGAUUUAGCGGCGGACGGGUGAGUAACACGUGGGCAACCUGCCUCAUAGAGGGGAAUAGCCUUCCGAAAGGGAGAUUAAUACCGCAUAAGAUUGUAGUACCGCAUGGUACAGCAAUUAAAGGAGCAAUCCGCUAUGAGAUGGGCCCGCGGCGCAUUAGCUAGUUGGUGAGGUAACGGCUCACCAAGGCGACGAUGCGUAGCCGACCUGAGAGGGUGAUCGGCCACAUUGGGACUGAGACACGGCCCAGACUCCUACGGGAGGCAGCAGUGGGGAAUAUUGCACAAUGGGGGAAACCCUGAUGCAGCAACGCCGCGUGGGUGAUGACGGCCUUCGGGUUGUAAAGCUCUGUCUUCAGGGACGAUAAUGACGGUACCUGAGGAGGAAGCCACGGCUAACUACGUGCCAGCAGCCGCCGUAA
rnacentral:rRNA from 1 species